UUUAACUUUCUUUUUUCAUCCCCUGGGGAGGCUAUGCUUGGCACCUUACUUUUCAAGUUUCAUUUCCCUCCUUGCUCUCUCUUUAACUUUCGCAUUCCCUCCUUCCUCGCUCUUUGCAAUUUCAAUCUCCUCCCUUUCAAUCUCACACUACAGUGUCAUUCCCUCUUUCAUUUGCGAUUUUUCGAGUCUCAUUUUCCUUUUUACUUUCGCAUCGAACCCUACACACUCGAGCGCCCUUCUUCUUCAAUCUGUCCAACCCCUUUGUUCUUCAAUCUGUCCAAAAUCCCCUUUCCUCUUCUAUUGAAAAGCCCUAUUUGAACCCAGUUGAGCCCUAACACUGUUGAAGGCGCGCUGACGUUGUCGUGACAACUAGUUCGUUGGGUGUUAUUAUGGUGGAUUGCAAAGCGUAUCGGGAGUCUCCAUUUUCUACAAGGCGUAGUGUGCUCUGUGAGUAGUUGGUAAGGGACCGAAGACCUCCCUCCCUAUGCUUUUCAUUACAUAGUGAUUCUGCCAUUCUUGUGAUGGAUAAUUGAUUCCUAAUUUUAAUCUUGUUAGAGUAUUUAUCCUAUUUAGGAUUGUUAGAGUAUUUAUUAUAUAUAUUAUUAUUAGAAUAUUUAUUUUGUUGGAGUAUUUAUCAUAUUUAUUAUUAUUAGAGUAUUUAUUCUAUUAUUAUUAUUAUUAUUGUAUAAAGUUAUCAUAUUUUGUAAUUGAACUUUUUUAUAUAUAGAAUGAGAGGGAAGAGAUUUUUAAGUCUUUUAGAAUUAUUUUAUCGUUUUAAUUUAAAGUUGGUAUCAGAGGUCGAUCUUGUUCUGAUUUGGAAAAUGAUAUUUUAACACCAUUUUUUGACACUAUUUUGACACUGUAUACGUGUCAAAAUGUGAUUGGACGAUUUCAAAUUAAAAAAGUUGAGACAGGAGUAUAUUUGGAAAAGAAAAACCAAAGUUUGUUUUUUAAUUUGAAAUCGUCCAACCACAUUUUGACACGUGUGCAGGGUCAAAAUGGUGUCAAAAAAUGGUGUUAAAAUAUCAUUUUUCUUCUGAUUUAUGUAACAUCUAUAUGGUGUUGUUUGUUGUUGUCUGCGGUUUUCCUCACAACGUUGUCAGCCACUGUUUUUCAUUGUUUUGUCACUGUCACUGUUCACCACCAGCUAUUGUCAUAGUUCACUACCAUGACCAUCGGAUCUAGUUUGUCUCUCUGUGUGAUGACCACCCUGUCGGUGCCAAGGUCUCGUUCUCCUCCACACCGCCACACACUCCAUCUUUGUAUGUCUCGAACAGGCGUGUAUUGUUCAUGUGUCGUGCUCUGCUCAUUGGAUCAUCAUCGCGACACAUCCACAGUGGUAGCCAGUCCUUCCGUGUUCUGACCCUCAAAACUCCUCUUCAAAAUUCAAAGAUGGGUCUGACAAUAAUCUUUCAUUAUUCGGAAGUCCAUCAAUUAUUUCGAGAAGUGAAAUAGAAAAAAAAUACCUUCCAUCAAUUACUUUAAAUAGAAAAAAAAUAUCUUGAGCAAGAUGGAAGCAUGUACCUGCUGAAAAAGCUAAUAAGUAAAAACAAACAGGUUUCGAGUUGAGAGCUUUGUUAUAUAUCUGAGAGGCUUUUAAAACUCGAUACUCCUUUUAGAAGAAAGUUUAAAGCAUUUAUAUCAGAC
rnacentral:lncRNA from 1 species